UGGGGAAUAUUGGACAAUGGGCGCAAGCCUGAUCCAGCCAUGCCGCGUGCAGGAUGACGGUCCUAUGGAUUGUAAAGCACUUUAAGUUGGGAGGAAGGGCAGUUACCUAAUACGUAUCUGUUUUGACGUUACCGACAGAAUAAGCACCGGCUAACUCUGUGCCAGCAGCCGCGGUAAUACAGAGGGUGCAAGCGUUAAUCGGAAUUACUGGGCGUAAAGCGCGCGUAGGUGGUUUGUUAAGUUGGAUGUGAAAUCCCCGGGCUCAACCUGGGAACUGCAUUCAAAACUGACAAGCUAGAGUAUGGUAGAGGGUGGUGGAAUUUCCUGUGUAGCGGUGAAAUGCGUAGAUAUAGGAAGGAACACCAGUGGCGAAGGCGACCACCUGGACUGAUACUGACACUGAGGUGCGAAAGCGUGGGGAGCAAACAGGAUUAGAUACCCAUGUAGUCCCUGAGCGGGCUGGCAAGGCGCAU
rnacentral:rRNA from 1 species